CGGAGGAAAAGAAACUAACAAGGAUUCCCCUAGUAACGGCGAGUGAACCGGGAAGAGCUCAAAUUUGAAAUCUGGCGUGCUCAGUGCGUCCGAGUUGUAAUCUAUAGAGUCGUUUUCCGUGCCGGACUGUGUCCAAGUCCCUUGGAACAGGGUAUCAAAGAGGGUGAUAAUCCCGUACUUGACACAAUGACCGGUGCUCUGUGAUACGUCUUCUACGAGUCGAGUUGUUUGGGAAUGCAGCUCAAAAUGGGUGGUGAGUUCCAUCUAAAGCUAAAUAUUGGCGAGAGACCGAUAGCGAACAAGUACCGUGAGGGAAAGAUGAAAAGCACUUUGGAAAGAGAGUUAAACAGUACGUGAAAUUGUUAAAAGGGAAACGAUUGAAGUCAGUCGUGACUGAGAGGCUCAGCCGGUUCUGCCGGUGUAUUCCCCUCAGUCGGGUCAACAUCAGUUUUGUUCGGUGGAUAAGGGCAGUUGGAAGGUGGCACCCUCGGGUGUGUUAUAGCCAGCUGUCGCAUACAUCGGAUGAGACUGAGGAAUGCAGCUCGCCUUUAUGGCCGGGGUUCGCCCACGUUCGAGCUUAGGAUGUUGACAUAAUGGCUUUAAACGACCCGUC
rnacentral:rRNA from 1 species